AUGCCGCAGAAGAAGCGCCCCCGCCGUAGGAGGUCUCCUCGCGAAGGAUCCUCCCGCCGGCGCCGUGGUGAAGAUGGCGCAUCCUUGUCUGGAUCCCUUGGCCAAUCGGAUGGGAGCAGCAGCAGCAGCGGCGCGAGUUCCGGCGCGCGGGCGCCGGAAUCCCUCGCCCAGCCGUCGGACACCCGGCCGGCUCGCAAGUACGAGUCCAGGUACCAUGAGAUGCUCGCCUCGUGCCUCGCCGUGCUGCCUCUACCAGCCUACGCCGACGGCGAAGGCCCAGAUCUCCCUUCUGCUGAAACUUUCGAAGCCCUCGUUCGUCCUUAUUUCUAUGAUGACGAGCUGCGGGCUGCUCUGGUAGAGUACCAAGUCCACAAGUUCUUGAGCCGACCAGAGGAUGUCCAUGGACGAGAUGGAGAUUCAGGAGAAGUUGAUUCGUCCUCCUCACUGAUGGAUGAUAUCCCCGAGGAGGAAUUCGAGGCAGACGAUGCACGGCUCAGGUCUCACAUAGUACAUGAAGUUGACACCGAGGAUAGAUUGGAUGAAGAGGAGGCGAACAGGCUCUGUCACAAGUACGCACGAUACCGCCUCAAAGCUUGCAUGUUGCUCAAAGGAGUGCCUAUUGACGAUGCUGCAUUCGACUCCCAGUACCCUCCAGACCUUCCCUUGGACAACCACCGUCUUUACCAUGAAGAUGAAGCCUUGGGCUGGUGGUUUGACUUGGGCACCUCUUCACCCGCGACCUUGAGCGACUAUCAGCGGCUAGUCCCUUGUAAUGAAGGGGGCGUUGAGUAUGAAAGUUGGAAUGAAUACCGAGAGUUUUAUAGCACCCCUGAAACUGAUAGAGAUUAUCUGCUCUACUGGGAAACGAUUGUGAAGGAUCUUAAGUGGAUUGAAGAACAUGCGCUUAAAGGCUAUAUGGAGGUACACACCUAUACGACCUCUCAAAACAAUUGGCAUGAAUUGCGUGCAAAAGCUUGGCGCCAAGCAGUUAGGAUUGCUACUAGGUUCGAAAACAUUCCUCUGGGGCUAGCAUAUUAUGGUUUCCAGGAGUAUACAACGAGCAAUUAUCUCGAGUCCGUGAAAGAUCUUGACUCUGUGUUUUUUGAGAUUUGGAAGCUGGUCAAUGGGUCUGAUCAGAUGUCUUUGAGAGAUGCUAUGAAGCAUGUGUAUGAGGAGAACCUGUUUCCAUUACGCAAACGUGAUUUGGAGCACGAGCUGAGUCAACCUGUCUCGUUGGGAUUGGAGAAAAAAUUUCGACGGUGCACAGCGGGCGUCAAUAAGGAAGUUCCAGAGUGGCUAGCGCGUGUGUUAAUUUCGCAGGAAGUUAGUUUCAAGUGUGAUCUGCCAAGGAGGUAUGUGCAUUAUGCCAGGAAGAAGCUCAAGAUUGCAGAAAUCAUAGGUUUGAUUCCCAUAUCCAAGAUACCAGCCUAG
rnacentral:rRNA from 1 species